rnacentral:lncRNA from 1 species
GUUCUUCAUCAGUUUGACAAACCCAGAAAAUCUCGAUCAUAUUUCCUGUUUCAGGAAUUCGGUGAACGUCGUUCAUAUUCCGGCGAACAUUAAUCGGAGAUGACAUAAGAUUCCGGCGAACGUUAAACUGAAAACAUUGAUUCCCCACAAUGAAAAGCUUCUGAAUGAUGCUACGGGUUAAGACACAGAUGUUGCUGUGAUGAAUUCUGCAAUAGUCAAGGAUUUGAAACUAGCUGUUGAGAAAAAUAAGUCAAUGAAAUGGAGUAGUAAAAGAUGGGUCAUCUUCAUAUUUCUUGGUAUUUCCCUUUUUUCUGUUACCUAGCUGUAUUUCAUAUAAAUGGUAUGAAAUUGCCGCCUUCAUGACUAGGUACCAUGAACUGCUUGCUAUUUCUCAUCUUUUUGGGAAUACUAUUUUUCUCAUUUGUUAAUUAUCCAAAAAUAAAUAUUUUUUUCCCAAUGAUAAUUUUUGUGGUAAAUUAGUCAUAUUGCACGUUUAGAGCUUCCAUUUGUUGGUUGUGUGUUCAGGAAGCAUGUUGUGUGGCGAAAAUUGUCUCUCAUACCACAAUAAAAAACUUUUAUUUUCCGGCAGUUGCUGUAACCUCACGACCCAUGUUUGUAUCUAAAAACUUAGUUUCCGGCAGUCCACUUUAAACCCAGUUCUUUUCGUCUUUCAUUCAUGGCCGACCCAGAAAUCAAUAAUCAUAAUUCCGACGAAAACGUUG